rnacentral:rRNA from 1 species
AUCGGAGGAAAAGAAACCAACUGGGAUUACCUUAGUAACGGCGAGUGAAGCGGUAAAAGCUCAAAUUUGAAAUCUGGUACUUUCAGUGCCCGAGUUGUAAUUUGUAGAAUUUGUCUUUGAUUAGGUCCUUGUCUAUGUUCCUUGGAACAGGACGUCAUAGAGGGUGAGAAUCCCGUUUGGCGAGGAUACCUUUUCUCUGUAAGACUUUUUCGAAGAGUCGAGUUGUUUGGGAAUGCAGCUCAAAGUGGGUGGUAAAUUCCAUCUAAAGCUAAAUAUUGGCGAGAGACCGAUAGCGAACAAGUACAGUGAUGGAAAGAUGAAAAGAACUUUGAAAAGAGAGUGAAAAAGUACGUGAAAUUGUUGAAAGGGAAGGGCAUUUGAUCAGACAUGGUGUUUUUUGCAUGCACUCGCCUCUCGUGGGCUUGGGCCUCUCAAAAAUUUCACUGGGCCAACAUCAAUUCUGGCAGCAGGAUAAAUCAUUAAGAAUGUAGCUACUUCGGUAGUGUUAUAGCUUUUUGGAAUACUGUUAGCCGGGAUUGAGGACUGCGCUUCGGCAAGGAUGUUGGCAUAAUGGUUAAAUGCCGCCCGUCUUGA